UCAAGUAUUUAAAAGAGUCUAAAAAGUUAUUCUAAUGCUACACAGAAUUAAGUGUAUUCUGAUUGAGGCCUGUAGGUGGCGCAUUGCACUAGAGUGAUGAGGAAUGACGUUAGGGUCAAAAGGGCAAAGUCAUUAAAAGAAAGCGCCAAAACGCUGCAGACACUAAUGUGUGUUUUCUCAUUUUAUACAGGUUAGCAGUCUGCAAUCUGUCCUCGGAGAACAACCCAGUAUCAGCACCAGCAAAACAUUCAAACAAGCUCUUCAACUCUCGAGUCUAAACACCGCAGAUGAUGCCACAGUUGUGCACACAAACCCUGUAGUGAAAAGUGUGGUGAAUAAGAAACCUUCAAAAGAGGGACAUCCCUGGUCCUCCUGUGUUGGACAUAAUUAUUUAAAUUAGGCCUGUGAACGGCCCUGACUAGAAAUGAAACUAUGUGUAUUAUUAUUAUAAUGCAUCCUGACAGCAGCACUGACAGAAGAACCUAAAACAAGUUAAUUUCACCCUUUUAGUCAAAGCUCGGUGCGUCAGUUAAAACCUCUGAAAGUAACCCAGCAGCGGUGGUUUUAGAAAAGCAGCGGAUACUUCCUUUCAGCUCAUCACAAGGAGUAAAUGAGAUGAGGACAUGGAAAAACACACGCAGAAAGAUGCUGGAGCAGAAACCACAGAGGAGCAAAGAACAAGAGCAAAGAGAGAAACAGAGGACAGAAAUGAAACCCAAACCAGUGGAGAGAAAAACCGACAGAAGCUUGUUAGAUGUGACAGUAUGGAGGGAAGAAGACCAAACUUGUCAGAUGAUCCAGAGGAGCCUGUAAAGAUUGAUUCUGAUGUUCUCAAGAGCAGAACAAUCUGAAACAGAUUAGUGAACGGUUCUCUCUUGUUGACUGAUAACUGUGUUUUACUGCUCUGAUGCUGAUUCACUUCUGGAUCACACAGAGUUUUGUGUUUUAAAACAAAAUAGUUUGUUUCGUAUUGCACUGCCUUCCAUGUAUAAUGUAUAUAUUUGUAUUACUGUAUAUUUUGGUAUAUUUCUGUAUAAAACACUGUACAUCACAUAUGCUGAAAUACUGGAUCACAGAUAUUAUGACAUCUCCAGAUAAAUAAAGAAAGAAAAGUGCAGUAAAAUAC